CCUACGGGGGGCAGCAGUGAGGAAUAUUGGUCAAUGGGCGGGAGCCUGAACCAGCCAAGUCGCGUGAGGGAAGACGGUCCUAUGGAUUGUAAACCUCUUUCGGCGGGGAGCAAUGCCGGGCACGUGUGCACGGAGGGAGAGUACCCGCAGAAUAAGCAUCGGCUAACUCCGUGCCAGCAGCCGCGGUAAUACGGAGGAUGCGAGCGUUAUCCGGAUUUAUUGGGUUUAAGGGGUGCGUAGGCGGAUUUUUAAGUCCGCGGUAAAAUGUCCGGGCUAAACCCGGGCCGACCGUUGAAACUGGGGAUCUUGAGUGGGCGAGAAGUAUGCGGAAUUCGUGGUGUAGCGGUGAAAUGCAUAGAUAUCACGAAGAACUCCAGUUGCGAAGGCAGCAUACCGGCGCCCGACUGACGCUGAGGCACGAAAGCGUGGGGAUCGAACAGGAUUAGAUACCCGGGUAGUC
rnacentral:rRNA from 1 species